rnacentral:rRNA from 1 species
UUCUGGCUCAGGAUGAACGCUGGCGGCGUGCUUAACACAUGCAAGUCGAACGAAGCACUGAAGAAUGGAGAUUCGUCAAAGUUCUCUUGACUGAGUGGCGAACGGGUGAGUAAUGCGUGAGCAACCUGCCCUUCAGAGGGGGACAACAGUUGGAAACGACUGCUAAUACCGCAUGACGUGUUUGGAAGGCAUCUUCCGAACACCAAAGGAGAAAUCCGCUGAGGGAUGGGCUCACGUCUGAUUAGCUAGUUGGCAGGGCAACGGCCUACCAAGGCGACGAUCAGUAGCCGGACUGAGAGGUUGAACGGCCACAUUGGGACUGAGAUACGGCCCAGACUCCUACGGGAGGCAGCAGUGGGGAAUAUUGGGCAAUGGGCGAAAAAGCCUGACCCAGCAACGCCGCGUGAAGGAAGAAGGCCUUCGGGUUGUAAACUUCUUUUAACAGGGACGAAGAAGUGACGGUACCUGUUGAAUAAGCCACGGCUAACUACGUGCCAGCAGCGGC